GGCUCUUUGGUGAUGUGGUCAGCGAGUCUGACUCUUACCCAGGAGUCUGGGGUUCAAUUCUCCCACCGGGCCC